AAUGAACGUUGGCGGCGUGGAUUAGGCAUGCAAGUCGAGCGAUAACCGUAGCAAUACGGCGAAAGCGGCGAAAGGGAGAGUAACACGCGGGUACCUGCCCCCGGAUCCGGGAUAGCUACGGGAAACUGUAGGUAAUACCGGAUAACGUCUCCGGACCAAAGGUGUGAUUCCGUCCGGGGAGGGGCCCACGUCCUAUUAGCUAGUUGGCGAGGUAACGGCUCACCAAGGCUGUGAUGGGUACGGGGUGUGAGAGCAUGCCCCCGCUCACUGGGACUGAGACACUGCCCAGACACCUACGGGUGGCUGCAGUCGAGAAUCUUCGGCAAUGGGCGCAAGCCUGACCGAGCGACGCCGCGUGCGAGAUGAAGGCCUUCGGGUUGUAAAUCGCUGUCGUAGGGGAGGAAAUGCCGGUGGGUUCUCCCAUCGGUUUGACCUAUCCUAGGAGGAAGGACGGGCUAAGUUCGUGCCAGCAGCCGCAGUAA
rnacentral:rRNA from 1 species